rnacentral:rRNA from 1 species
GGGGAAUCUUGGACAAUGGGGGCAACCCUGAUCCAGCAAUGCCGCGUGGGUGAAGAAGGCCUUCGGGUUGUAAAGCCCUUUCGGCGGGGAAGAAAUCGGCCGGGCGAAUAGUCCGGUCGGAUGACGGUACCCGCAGAAGAAGCACCGGCUAACUACGUGCCAGCAGCCGCGGUAAUACGUAGGGUGCGAGCGUUAAUCGGAAUUACUGGGCGUAAAGGGUGCGCAGGCGGUUCUGUAAGACCGGUGUGAAAUCCCCGGGCUCAACCUGGGAAUUGCGCUGGUGACUGCAGGGCUAGAGUACGGUAGAGGGGGGUGGAAUUCCUGGUGUAGCAGUGAAAUGCGUAGAGAUCAGGAGGAACACCGAUGGCGAAGGCAGCCCCCUGGGCCUGUACUGACGCUCAUGCACGAAAGCGUGGGGAGCAAAC